GCGGCCGUAACUAUAACGGUCCUAAGGUAGCGAAAUUCCUUGUCGGUUAAAUACCGACCUGCAUGAAUGGCGUAACGAGAUGGGAGCUGUCUCAACCAGAGAUUCAGUGAAAUUGUAGUGGAGGUGAAAAUUCCUCCUACCCGCGGCAAGACGGGAAGACCCCGUGGACCUUUACUACAACUUAGCACUGCUAAUGGGAAUAUCAUGCGCAGGAUAGGUGGGAGGCUUUGAAGUAAGGGCUUUGGCUCUUAUGGAGUCAAA
rnacentral:rRNA from 1 species